GAUGAACGCUAGCGGGAGGCCUAACACAUGCAAGCCGAGCGGUAUUGUUUCUUCGGAAAUGAGAGAGCGGCGUACGGGUGCGUAACACGUGUGCAACCUGCCUUUAUCUGGGGGAUAGCCUUUCGAAGGGAAGAUUAAUACUCCAUAAUAUAUUGAACGGCAUCGUUUAAUAUUGAAAGCUCCGGCGGAUAGAGAUGGGCACGCGCAAGAUUAGCUAGUUGGUGAGGUAACGGCUCACCAAGGCGAUGAUCUUUAGGGGGCCUGAGAGGGUGAUCCCCCACACUGGUACUGAGACACGGACCAGACUCCUACGGGAGGCAGCAGUGAGGAAUAUUGGUCAAUGGGUGCAAGCCUGAACCAGCCAUCCCGUGUGAAGGACGACUGCCCUAUGGGUUGUAAACUUCUUUUGUAUAGGGAUAAACCUACCCUCGAGAGGGUAGCUGAAGGUACUAUACGAAUAAGCACCGGCUAACUCCGUG
rnacentral:rRNA from 1 species